rnacentral:rRNA from 1 species
GUAGGGAAUAUUGGGCAAUGGAUGCAAGUCUGACCCAGCCAUCCCGCGUGCCGGAAGAAGGCCCUCAGGGUUGUAAACGGCUUUUGACGGUGAAGAAUCGACAGGAUGCGUCCUGGUUUGACGGUAGCCGUUGAAUAAGCACCGGCUAACUCCGUGCCAGCAGCCGCGGUAAUACGGAGGGUGCGAGCGUUUUCCGGAUUUAUUGGGUUUAAAGGGUGCGUAGGCUGGAAUGUCAGUCAGUGGUGAAAAGCUGGCGCUUAACGAUAGUCUUGCCGCAGAUACUUCCUUUCUUGGAUGAGGAGGAGGCCACUGGAACGGAUGGUGUAGCGGUGAAAUGCAUAGAUAUCAUCCAGAACACCGAUUGCGAAGGCAGGUGGCUGUACCUUAAUCGACGCUGAUGCACGAAAGCAUGGGGAGCAAACAGGAUUAGAAACCCUGGUAGUCC